CCCUUAGAUGUUCUGGGCCGCACGCGCGCUACACUGACGGAGGCAGCGAGCGUGUCCUUCGCCGGCAGGUGCGGGCAAUCUUGCGAGUCUCCGUCGUGCUGGGGAUAGAUGGUUGCAAUUGUCGAUCUUGAACGAGGAAUUCCUAGUAAGCGCGAGUCAUCAGCUCGCGCUGAUUACGUCCCUGCCCUUUGUACACACCGCCCGUCGCUACUACAGAGUGCCCGUGUCCAAGAAACGGUCGGACCUGUGCGGCCUCUCCGGGCGACCGGAGGGCCGUUACGGGGAAGACCCUUUAUUUGACGCGGGUCGAUGAAGUAAAAGUCGUAACAA
rnacentral:rRNA from 1 species